rnacentral:rRNA from 1 species
UACGUAGGUGGCAAGCGUUGUUCGGAAUUACUGGGCGUAAAGCGCGCGUAGGCGGUGAACUUUGUCAGAGGUGAAAUCCCGAGGCUCAACUUCGGAAUUGCCUUUGAAACGGGUUCGCUUGAGUCCGAGAGAGGAUGGCGGAAUUCCUAGUGUAGAGGUGAAAUUCGUAGAUAUCGGGAGGAACACCGGUGGCGAAGGCGGCGACCUGGGGUAGAUACUGACGCUGAGGUGCGAAAGCGUGGGGAGCAAACAGGG